rnacentral:tRNA from 1 species
GGUGUUACGCCGGUAUGAGCGGAUUACUUUGAUGAAGUAGGAUAUGAGACUCUUCUCUAACAUCUUUA